AAAAGAACUUUGAAGAGAGAGUUCAAGAGGACGUGAAACCACAAGGGGCGAAGCGGAGAGAGUUGAUAUAGCUGGCAGUGAUCAGUGCUGUAGAGUGCUCCGCUGUGCGUUGGCUGAUAGUUUAGUCGGUCGCGUGCGGUUUGGGUGGGCGCUUUGCGGUGCGCUUUCGCUGUCAGUAUACGCUGAGACGUUCGGAGUGUCCUUCUGAACCGUGCAGUGUGGUCCAGUUCGCUGGUAACCUGUUGUGCGGGGAGGUUGAUGUACGCUCUGUUCGGCAAAAGCUCGUUCAUGUACGGAGUUUGUGAGCGCUUGUCGGCUGCGGCGUUGGUGGCUUGCCAUCUGCGUCGUGUGUUGGCUCGUGUUUGCGAACGCUGUUAGGACCUGCUCUCGGUGAGAAAGUCGACCACCUCUCCGACCCGUCUUGAAACACGGACCAAGAAGUCUAGCAGUUGCGCGAGUCAAUGGGUUUUAAACCUACUGGCGAAAUGAAAGUGAAGGUCGGCUUGCCGGCUGAUAUGUGAUCCGUGGCUUCGGCUGCGGCGCAACAUAGCCCCAUGCUAAUUGCUUGCAAUGGUGUGGAGGUAGAGCGUAACUGCUGGGACCCGAAAGAUGGUGAACUAUGCCUGAGCAGGAUGAAGCCAGAGGAAACUCUGGUGGAAGUCCGAAGCGGUUCUGACGUGCAAAUCGAUCGUCUGACUCGGGUAUAGGGGCGAAAGACUAAUCGAACCAUC
rnacentral:rRNA from 1 species